rnacentral:lncRNA from 1 species
CACCUUCUCAGAGUAAGCUCUAGCACACAUGUCAUUGGACAGGAGAUGGAGGCUCACACACUGAAGACUCCUGGGGCGUAGCAGGUGGUCCCCAGUGCUGGCUCCUGGGUGGGCAGGCCCAGGACCUUCACAACAUCUGUGAUCUUGGCAGGCUCUGACAGGCGGAGCAGCAUGAGGUCGUGGCUGGAGUCAUCACCUGGCCUGAGGAAUCGAUUCUUCAGGAGGCUCAUAUCGUAGAGCGGCUGUGAGGACCCACUGGGGGUGCACCAGAACACCGCCGCAGACUGCCCUGCCACGAGAGGCCACAAGCACCUGCC